AGAUUUUCCCUCGUACCUUUUGCAUCAUGAUUUAGCUAGUAAAACUUAAGCAAAGAGAACUUUAGUUUAAUACCCCGAAACUAUGGUGAGCUACUCCGAGACAGCCUUCAAUAGGGCGAACCCGUCUCUGUGGCAAAAGAGUGGGACGAGCUCCGAGUAGUGGUGACAGACCUAUCGAACCUAGUUAUAGCUGGUUGCCUGAGAAAUGGAUAGGAGUUCAGCCUCAUGGCUUCUCCAGUCGAACUUUGCCUACAGGCAUUAGAUGACAAAGUGAAACCAUGAGAGUUAAUCAAAGGAGGCACAGCUCCUUUGAUAAAAGACACAACUUUUACAGGAGGGUACAGAUCAUAAUUUCAUCAAGGCCUGGUGUCCUGGUGGGCCUAAAAGCAGCCACCCAUAAAAAAAGCGUUAAAGCUCAAGCACGCAGCCUCCCUAUUAUAACGAUAAUAGUAUCUUAACCCCCUGGCCCCCAUCAGGCCGUUCCAUGCCUUCAUGGAAGUGAUUAUGCUGAAAUGAGUAAUAAGAGAGCCAGACUCUCUCCCUGCACAAGUGUACCUCGGA
rnacentral:rRNA from 1 species